CCAGACUCCUACGGGAGGCAGCAGUGAGGAAUCUUCCGCAAUGGGCGAAAGCCUGACGGAGCAACGCCGCGUGAGUGAAGAAGGUCUUCGGAUCGUAAAGCUCUGUUGUUGGGGACGAAAGGGAAGGGGAGGAAAUGCCCUUUUUAAGACGGUACCCGACGAGCAAGCCACGGCUAACUACGUGCCAGCAGCCGCGGUAAUACGUAGGUGGCGAGCGUUGUCCGGAAUGAUUGGGCGUAAAGGGAGCGCAGGUGGGACGGUAAGUCCUUCUUAAAAGCGUGGGGCUCAGCCCCAUGAAGGGAAGGAAACUAUCGAUCUUGAGUGCCGGAGAGGAAAGCGGAAUUCCCAGUGUAGCGGUGAAAUGCGUAGAUAUUGGGAAGAACACCAGUGGCGAAGGCGGCUUUCUGGACGGCAACUGACACUGAGGCUCGAAAGCCAGGGGAGCGAACGGGAUUAGAUACCCCGGUAGUCCUGGCCGUAAACGAUGGAUACUAGGUGUAGGAGGUAUCGACCCCUCCUGUGCCGGAGUUAACGCAAUAAGUAUCCCGCCUGGGGAGUACGGUCGCAAGACUGAAACUCAAAGGAAUUGACGGGGGCCCGCACAAGA
rnacentral:rRNA from 1 species